CUUGGGGUUGUAGGACACUCUAUACGGAGUUACAAAAGAAAGUUAUAAAUGAAGCGGUCUGGAAAGGCCCGCCAAAGACGGUAACAGCCCGGUAGUUGAAAUAGCUUUCCCUCCAGAGUGGAUCCUGAGUACGGCGGAACACGUGAAAUUCCGUCGGAAUCCGGGAGGACCAUCUCCCAAGGCUAAAUACUCCCUAGUGACCGAUAGUGAACCAGUACCGUGAGGGAAAGGUGAAAAGCACCCCGGAAGGGGAGUGAAACAGUUCCUGAAACCGUGUGCCUACAAGUAGUUAGAGCCCGUUAAUGGGUGAUAGCGUGCCUUUUGUAGAAUGAACCGGCGAGUUACGAUUUGUUGCAAGGUUAAGCGGAAAAAGCGGAGCCGUAGCGAAAGCGAGUCUGAAUAGGGCGCAUAAGUAACAGGUCGUAGACCCGAAACCAGGUGAUCUACCCAUGUCCAGGAUGAAGGUAAGGUAAUACUUACUGGAGGUCCGAACCCACGCACGUUGAAAAGUGCGGGGAUGAGGUGUGGGUAGCGGAGAAAUUCCAAUCGAACUUGGAGAUAGCUGGUUCUCUCCGAAAUAGCUUUAGGGCUAGCCUCGAGGUAAAGAGUCAUGGAGGUAGAGCACUGUUUGGACUAGGGGCCCUUCUCGGGUUACCGAAUUCAGAUAAACUCCGAAUGCCAUGUACUUAUACUCGGGAGUCAGACUGCGAGUGAUAAGAUCCGUAGUCGAAAGGGAAACAGCCCAGACCACCAGUUAAGGUCCCCAAAUAUAUGUUAAGUGGAAAAGGAUGUGGGGUUGCUUAGACAACCAGGAUGUUGGCUUAGAAGCAGCCACCAUUGAAAGAGUGCGUAAUAGCUCACUGGUCGAGUGACCCCGCGCCGAAAAUGUACCGGGGCUAAACAUAUUACCGAAACUGUGGAUGAACCUCUUUAGAGGUUCGUGGUAGGAGAGCGUUCUAAGGGCGGUGAAGUCAGACCGGAAGGACUGGUGGAGCGCUUAGAAGUGAGAAUGCCGGUAUGAGUAGCGAAAGAAGGGUGAGAAUCCCUUCCACCGAAUAUCUAAGGUUUCCUGAGGAAGGCUCGUCCGCUCAGGGUUAGUCGGGACCUAAGCCGAGGCCGAUAGGCGUAGGCGAUGGACAACAGGUAGAGAUUCCUGUACCAGUGCUAAUUGUUUAACCGAUGGGGUGACACAGAAGGAUAGGGAAUCGCACGAAUGGAAAUGUGCGUCCAAGCAGUGAGUGUGAGAAGUAGGCAAAUCCGCUUCUCGCGAAGCAUGAGCUGUGAUGGGGAAGGAAAUUAAGUACGGAAGUUCCUGAUUUCACGCUGUCAAGAAAAGCCUCUAGGAAGAGUAGUACUGCCCGUACCGCAAACCGACACAGGUAGAUGAGGAGAGAAUCCUAAGGUGAGCGAGAGAACUCUCGUUAAGGAACUCGGCAAAAUGACCCCGUAACUUCGGGAGAAGGGGUGCUCUAUUAGGGUGCAAGCCCGAGAGAGCCGCAGUGAAUAGGCCCAGGCGACUGUUUAGCAAAAACACAGGUCUCUGCAAAACCGUAAGGUGACGUAUAGGGGCUGACGCCUGCCCGGUGCUGGAAGGUUAAGAGGAGUGCUUAGCUUCGGCGAAGGUACGAAUUGAAGCCCCAGUAAACGGCGGCCGUAACUAUAACGGUCCUAAGGUAGCGAAAUUCCUUGUCGGGUAAGUUCCGACCCGCACGAAAGGCGCAACGAUCUGGGCACUGUCUCAACGAGAGACUCGGUGAAAUUAUAGUACCUGUGAAGAUGCAGGUUACCCGCGACAGGACGGAAAGACCCCGUGGAGCUUUACUGCAACCUGAUAUGGAAUGUUUGUACCGCUUGUACAGGAUAGGUAGGAGCCGAAGAGACGUGUGCGCUAGCAUACGAGGAGGCAAUGGUGGGAUACUACCCUGGCUGUAUGACCAUUCUAACCCGCCACGCUUAGCGCGUGGGGAGACAGUGUCAGGUGGGCAGUUUGACUGGGGCGGUCGCCUCCUAAAGAG
rnacentral:rRNA from 1 species